rnacentral:rRNA from 1 species
UACGUAGGGUGCAAGCGUUGUCCGGAAUUAUUGGGCGUAAAGAGCUCGUAGGCGGUUUGUUGCGUCGGCUGUGAAAUCCCGAGGCUCAACCUCGGGUCUGCAGUCGAUACGAGCAAACUAGAGUGUUGCAGGGGAGACUGGAAUUCCUGGUGUAGCGGUGAAAUGCGCAGAUACCAGGAGGAACACCGGUGGCGAAGGCGGGUCUCUGGGCCGUAACUGACGCUGAGGAGCGAAAGCGUGGGGAGCGAACAGG